UCAUACGAUUUUUCUGACUCUUCGAUGC
rnacentral:sRNA from 1 species